GGGCGCGCGCAUAGGCCAAAAACCGGGCAAAGCACGGUGGGAGGCCGGCGCAUAUGACGUCGACGCCCGUCUUGGCCUUGCAGUCGCGGAUGCGCGCGCAGCGCUUGGCCUUGUUGUGGCCCGGCACGCUGUCCCACGGCAACGAGCCCUUGGCCAACUGGACCAGCGUGUAGGCCAGGGCCUCGAGGUCAUCCCUCCGACUUUGCACUGUGCCAUUUUAUUGCCCGUUAUAAUCGUCGUCGUCGCAGUCGAUUGCCCGUGCGUCGCCAAAAAGAGGGAUGCACACAAACAAAAAGGACACAUAAAGAGAGCGCGCAUGUCAGCAGGACGGCAACACCAGGCACAAUGAUUGCAAACAAAAUGGCUCGUCGGCAGCAAAUCGUGUGAUUCACCACAAUAAUAAUGAUGAUAAUAAUAAUUUAAAUAGAAAACGAUGAUAAUGAUGAUCAUCGGGCCGAG
rnacentral:lncRNA from 1 species